rnacentral:misc_RNA from 1 species
UCCGGUUUGUCACCGGCAGUCUCGCGUGAGUCCCCAACUUAAUGCUGGCAACACGCGACAAGGGUUGCGCUCGUUGCGGGACUUAACCCAACAUCUCACGACACGAGCUGACGACAGCCAUGCAGCACCUGUGCGCCGGUUCUCUUUCGAGCACCCCGAGAUCUCUCCCGGGUUCCGACCAUGUCAAGGGUAGGUAAGGUUUUUCGCGUUGCAUCGAAUUAAUCCACAUCAUCCACCGCUUGUGCGGGUCCCCGUCAAUUCCUUUGAGUUUUAAUCUUGCGACCGUACUCCCCAGGCGGUCAACUUCACGCGUUAGCUGCGUUACCAAGUCAAUUAAGACCCGACAACUAGUUGACAUCGUUUAGGGCGUGGACUAC